rnacentral:tRNA from 2 species
GGGCCCGUAGCUCAGUUGGUUAGAGCAGUCGACUCAUAAUCGAUUGGUCGCCGGUUCAAGUCCGGCCAGGCCCACCA